UACGAAGGGGGCUAGCGUUGUUCGGAAUUACUGGGCGUAAAGCGCACGUAGGCGGAUAUUUAAGUCAGGGGUGAAAUCCCGGGGCUCAACCCCGGAACUGCCUUUGAUACUGGGUAUCUAGAGUCCAGAAGAGGUGAGUGGAAUUCCGAGUGUAGAGGUGAAAUUCGUAGAUAUUCGGAGGAACACCAGUGGCGAAGGCGGCUCACUGGUCUGGUACUGACGCUCAUGCACGAAAGCGUGGGGAGCAAACAGG
rnacentral:rRNA from 1 species